rnacentral:piRNA from 1 species
UUGUUGAUAUUGUAGAAUGAGAUACGCC